ensembl:lncRNA
GUCAUAUUUAGUUUAACUGCACUGUUAAAGAGGGGGAUUUUUACCAUUCAACUGUGUGCAUGUAUUUUAGACAUUGUUCUUGCUCCAUCCAUGCAACAGUUCAAUCAACCGAGUUUCUAUUUACUUACACAGCUGUUUGCUCUGGUAAUAUCAACGGUAUUGUCACACCCCUGGACUCUUUCCUUCCGGCACAGUAGCGUGACAGUAGACCCGACCAACUAAAGUUUAAUUUGUGUGUCUACUCUCUGUUUGUUUUCCAGUUUUCCUCAGUCCUUUUUGUUUCCGUAGUGUUGUCCAUGGAUCCCCUCCUUCGCCCCGAAUUCCUCCUCCUGCUGGAGCAGGAAGGACGUUCUCUCGAGGACCAUAUGAGACAGUGCCUACUGCUAGCUAACAUCCCCAGCUACCUGGAUGAUGCACUCUGCGCGUUGUCGUCCCAAGAUGGUCCUCAGGAGGAAUUUGCCGCAUUCGUGGAGCGGACUCUGGAGAGAAACGGGUCACCUCUCACCGUCUGCCCCAUGGAGGAUGAGGGUCGCCGUGGAGCCAGAUGACGUGACGUCAGACCAGGUGUGUGAGCCGGCAACACCGCCUGCCACGAGGGAGAAGAACAUGGACAGGGUGAGCGCGGAGAGAAGCUCCGCCCCCUGCAUUGCGGCUGAGGGUGAGUGGAAUAUGGAAUGCCAAAAGGGCCAAAAUGAGGAGGUGGAUUUUAUAGACUGGGAAUCUGAACUGGAGGAUGAACUGCCCCCUCUCCUUUCUCCGACAUCUCCGCUGGUCCCGUCCAGCCCUCCUUCAUCCUUGGUUUCCUUGUCCAGCCCUGAGGGGGCUUCCAAUUCUCCAGUGCCUGUUUCCCAGUUAAGCCCAGGAUGGGCUCCGGUUCCCCAGUUAAGCCCACGAUGGGCUCUGAUAAUACAGUUAAGCCCAGGAAGGGCAUCUGAUCCCCAGUUAAGCCAAGUGUCGGCUCCAGCCCCAGAGCUCGCUCCAGUACCAGUUCCUAUAAUGUGCCCUCCAGUGUCUGCUCCUAGAAUGUGCCCUCCUGUGGCCGCUCCUCCAAAAUGCCUGCCCUCCCACCCGCUCCUGCCUUCUCCACUGCUGUCAUCUGGCAGCCCCUCUGCUUGCCCUCAGCCCACCAUCAUUGCGGUGCGAGCUCCGCAGGACUGCCAUCCGUCAGCGUCGCCAUGCUCUGAGUCUCCUUCACCUCCCCCUCCUGCCUCCGAGGCCUGGACUCCGCCUUGGCCCAUUGACCCGUCAGCUCCACCAUGGCUUCUGGCUCCCACCUCUCCGCCUGGCUCCCCCGUUCCUCCGGCUCCGCCUUGGUCUGACGUCGACCAUUCUGUGCCUCGGGACUCCACUCCUCUGGCUUCGCCUUG